CGUUGGUCAAGUGGUUAAGACACCGCCCUUUCACGGCGGUAACAUGGGUUCGAAUCCCGUACG
rnacentral:tRNA from 2 species